AGUCACUGACAUUAGAUACCCCUGUAGUCCAGGGUGUAAACGCUGCAGACUUGGUGUUGGAGGCCCUUUGGGGGCAUUCAGUGCCGGAGAGAAGUUGUUAAGUCUGCUACUUGGGGAGUACGUCCGCAAGGAUGAAACUUAAAGGAAUUGGCGGGGGAGCACCGCAACGGGAGGAGCGUGCGGUUUAAUUGGAUUCAACACCGUAAACUCACCAGGGAAGACUGUUACAUGAAGGUCGAGAUGAAGACUCUGCUAGAUUUUCAG
rnacentral:rRNA from 1 species